rnacentral:miRNA from 1 species
UGAGACAGGCUCAUGCUGCUAU